AAAAAGACAAACUCUGGUUUUUCGUGUCCAACGUUUGAUUGUCCGUCUUAUAUGAAAUUUUUUUAUAAUUAGUAUUUUCAUUGUUGUUAGAUGAUAAAACAUGAUUAAUACUUUAUGCGUGAUUUGUCUUUUUAAUUUUUUUCAUAAUUUUUUCGAAUAAGACGGACGGUCAAACAUUGAACACGGAAACCUAGGGUUUGUCUUUUU
rfam:Oryza glaberrima chromosome 5 Oglab05_0100_8, whole genome shotgun sequence.